UAGGGAAUAUUGGACAAUGGGUGAGAGCCUGAUCCAGCCAUGCCGCGUGCAGGAAGAAGGCGUUAUGCGUUGUAAACUGCUUUUGCCAGGGGAUAAAAAGACCGUGCGCGGUUAAUUGAAGGUACCUGGUGAAUAAGCCACGGCUAACUACGUGCCAGCGGCCGCGGUAAUACGUAGGUGGCAAGCGUUGUCCGGAUUUAUUGGGUUUAAAGGGUGCGUAGGUGGCCCUGUAAGUCAGUGGUGAAAUAUCUCAGCUUAACUGAGAGGGUGCCAUUGAUACUGCAGGGCUUGAGUACAGAUGAGGUAGGCGGAAUUGACGGUGUAGCGGUGAAAUGCAUAGAUAUCGUCAAGAACACCGAUAGCGAAGGCAGCUUACCAAGCUGUAACUGACACUGAGGCACGAAAGUGUGGGGAUCAAACAGGAUUAGAUACCCUCGUAGUCCCUGAGCGGGCUGGCAAGGCGCAU
rnacentral:rRNA from 1 species